UUUCCGUAGGUGAACCUGCGGAAGGAUCAUUAUAGAAUUUCGUGGGGAAGGAAGAUGAGGAGUGGCGACGGUCGCCGGCUUCCCCGUGUGUGAAGCACGUCCACGCCUUGCUUUUCGUUGACCUUUCUCUUAAUCUCACACCUGUGUACCCUUUGUAGGUCCUCUAAAGAGGAUCUAUGUUUUUAUCGUCACUCGCAUCGUAUGUCGAUAGAAUGUAACAUGAUCGUCGAUCGGCCUCGCGGUCGGGUGGCGGUCUAAAUAAAUAAAUACAACUUUCAGCAACGGAUCUCUUGGCUCUC
rnacentral:misc_RNA from 1 species